rnacentral:rRNA from 1 species
CAGCAGCCGCGGUAAAACGGAGGGUGCAAGCGUUAAUCGGAAUUACUGGGCGUAAAGCGCACGCAGGCGGUCUGACAAGUCAGAUGUGAAAUCCCCGGGCUUAACCUGGGAACUGCAUUUGAAACUGUCAGGCUGGAGUCUUGUAGAGGGGGGUGGAAUUCCAGGUGUAGCGGUGAAAUGCGUAGAGAUCUGGAGGAAUACCGGUGGCGAAGGCGGCCCCCUGGACAAAGACUGACGCUCAGGUGCGAAAGCGUGGGGAGCAAACAGGAUUAGAGACCCCUGUAGUCCCUGUCUCUUAUAC